GCCUCCCUUCCUCCCUCCCUCCGAGGAAGCAAAGCCCAAAACCUGGCGGCGGAGGACACGCGGCACCUCUCGCAUCCUUCCUCUCGGCGCAAGACGGGGCGCGUUCCCAUGCGCGGAGUUUGCGCGGAGGCGAAGGGGCCGGCACCUGGCCGCCCCGGGGAACCGCAGCUGCUUUGAAACUCGGUGAUCUGAUGAGAUGAAGGUCACUGAAAUUUCCUUCCUUUUCCCUCUGCUUUGGAAAUGACUUCUGUCUUAAGGCCCUGGAGGGUGAAGCUCUUCUAACUCAAGACAAAGGUUCUUCACAUGAGAGAUUAAUUCGUUUCCCCGUAAUUAAAUAAACAACACUCUCUACGUGGCUAUAUAGAAUAAACUAAAAUGAAGAAAGAACGUGUUGCGGAAAAUAUGGAGAAGUACAACUAGAGAAGUGCAACGUACUUCAGCAGAAUCCAGGUAAUAUAUUUUAAGAAACUGUUUCUAGCAGAGAAAAUAACUGCUAAAAGCAGGUGUUUAUUCUGAAAGCUGCAGCAAUAUUUUUCUGUCAUGUCACAUUAAAUCACUCAGGUUGCAUCAUGUUGUGCUCCACUACAUCAUGUUAGUAUAUAUGGCGGAGAAGGCAAAAUGCAGUAACAGGAUGUGACAGACAACACUUAGCAAAAAUAUUCACUUAUUUGACUCAGAUACUUGCUAUCAGUUUGAAUUGGGAUACAUGGUACCAAGCAAAGCUGACAGAUAGAAGCAAACUCAGCAAGGAACUCACCCCACGUAGAUCCAAAAGCUUCUUGUCUCAUACCCAGUACUCGCUCUCCUGGUGGUCACUGCUCUCCUCAGCUCUCCUCCUCACCAUUCCUUUCCUUGAUGCAUUAGCAUCUCCAAGGAGUCUUCUGGGCAGUGACAAUAGUGGGAUGCAGACCCAAGCUGGCCUGGAUUUACACCCUUGGUCCCCUGGAGAAAUCAUUGGGUGGUUGUUUAAAGCUGGUACAGCAUUGAAUACAGCAGAGGAGCCUUGACCUUUAUUUGUAAGCAUGGAAAUAAGGUAAGGAUGAAAGAUUGCUUUUCCUCCAGCUCAUAGGCAGGGAUCAGGAGGCCCUCCAGAGAAGCAGGGAGGUGGAAAGUCCCCAUUCAAUUUCUCUCCUCGCCUCCUUUCCCGUGCUGGCAGCAGAGGCCAGUAGUGCUAUGCAGAAGCCGUGCUCUACGGCAGCGAGAGGUGAAGGGAAGAAUCGCACAUGUUGCAGCUCCCUCGGGCUGCUGGAAGUAUAAGCAGUGAAUCAGCAGGGCUGAGGACCUGGCUGUUUUGACCCCAGCCCAGCUCUUUUUAGUCAAUUAGUUUAAGGCAAAUCCUUCCCUGGGGCUGGACACAGACACAAGCUCACCUGGUGCUUCAUGCUGUGCUGAUGCAACGAUGUAAGGUAUCGAUGUUCAUGGGCUACCUGAGGGCAAGAGUUGUGAGUGGUGCUGCAAUCUCUGCUGCUCGCAUUAUGACUCAGUGGUACCAAUAGGAUCUGUGUAGUGCAUCAGGGGAAGAAAGAGGACCCCUAACCCGAGGAAAUACAGGUAAUCUUAGAAUAGUCUUAUUUCCAUUAAAAGUGAUUUCAUCUAGAGUGUGCUGAGUGGCAAAUUUACCCAGGAGGUUUAACUUGCUUCUCUGUCUUCACAUUUUCAGAAGUUUAAUUUUAGUAAAUUUGUACUGUGCUCAAAAUAAACCAAGAGGUAGUUCCACAAACGGGUUCAAAUGCAGGAACUGCUGUUGUGAUGGAGCUCUGGAUGUCCCUUUCAGUACCAUCACCUGGCAUUUGAAAGCUUGUCAUGGUGCGUAUCAACCCUCAGGAGAUCUUCUGAUCUCCCCACGUUAUCACAGCUUCACACUGAAGUGGGUUCAUUGGAGAUACAGCACUGAAUGCAUUCUGCAUGCCAGACCCACAAAAUGUAGGCAGCGAUUGUACUGCUUCUUGUACGUGGUGCUGCAUUCACCCUACACAGUCAUUCCAUUCGCCAGCCCCCCUUUUCUGGCAGAAGUCAUUGCUGGAUCCCUGAAGUCCAGUGAAUUUGAAGAUCCACCAGGUCAUUAUCAUCUGUGGGCUGGAAAAGCUUCUUUUUGGAUAUUAAACAAUUAAAAGAGGGAAACCCUCCCCACACAAACCCAUCCCACAGCUCCCAACCUCCAUAGGCACAGCGCUGGCCUACCCAGCUGGCAGAGGGCCACGCUGUGUUGAGGGCGCAAACUUGGGUGAGGAUGCUGAGGAUCUGGUUGCCACUUCAGCCAAGAAAUGAAGAAGGAUUCACAGCACUUCUGUGGUGCAUUCUGGGUCUGUCUGCAUUUUCCAAGCAAAAAUUUAAUCAUGCAAAUAUUUACAGAAAUUUGAGAAAAAAAUAAAGACCAGUGAAAGCCGCCGCAGUGAACUUCUAAUUACAAAUCCACCAAGUGUUUAUGAAUAAAUUUAUCUAUUAUUUGUCUUGCUCUAGCACUGCGCAUACUUUGCCUUGUACCAUUACAGUCUGAAGGAAACAAUAUGCGGCAUGAAAAUGAAAACAAUUUGACUUAAUUAUUUAUACUAUUACCACCCUUUUGAAUUAAGCCCUCUAUUUCUUUGGUAUUUUGUAAAAUUUAACUGGUAAUUAUGCUUGUUUAAUUCAUUUAUUUCUCUAUUAAAAAAAAAAAAAGAAAAGAAAAAACCCUACCAGAAUGCAAAGUGCCACUGUGUUCUCAAAUUAUAAAUGAUUCUUUUAAGCUUUUAUGACAAAAAAAAAAUGUAGUAUUUUCUAUCACUUUGUUUAAAGCGUGUCUGGCUACGCUCCAACACUAUUUAAGUAUAAACAGGAAAAGCCUUGGAGGACAAGUAAUCAUACUUAAAUGACACAAAGAUCAUUAAAAUAAUGCUCAAAAACCACGGCAAAAUGAGACAUUGCAAGGCUGUUUUCUUCCUUGGAGUGUUUCACCAGAUGGUGAAGAGUGCUGAAAUAGAUUCGAGAGAGAAGCAAAGAGCAUUUCAUCAGCUGUCUCACACCAGUGCCGUGCAGCGCACACAGCCCUCAUCUGAGCUGGUGUGAAGUGGCAUCUCCUACCUCAGCCUCACCCAGCACUGAGAUAGGGAGAACACCGAGGUGCUGGAAUGAAGCUGUGCUGAAUCAUGGCCUGGGAAAUCCCUGCUUUGUCCUAUGGAAGUCACCGAGCAGAUUUAUUCGGAGAUGAGAACAAAUGAGCACGUCAGCAGAAGUUAUUGUGGCAAUUUGUGAAAGCCUUAAUGGAAUGUUUUCUGAGCUCACAGAGAAGAGCUGUGCCAUUAAAUUGCUGCACAAUAAUUUUACUUUGAUACUGGAAAGGCAUUUUGUUUUUUUUUUAAUCAGAAAUGACAGCCUAUAUCAGUGGUGACGCGUCAGCUACUGGUGUUUAAAUACAAGGGUCUCAGAAGUCAAUCUUCACUCACAUAAAGGAAAAAAAAUCAUGUUUCUAUACAUAUAGUUGCUGUAUGAAAUAUCUAAAAGUGAGAUACCUUUGCACUUUUAUCAG
ensembl:lncRNA